UUGUUUGGGAUUUAGUGAAUUACAACACAUGCUACUUAACCUCAUUCUGUAAGGUGUGGGGUUUGUUUGUUUAAUCAAUUAUUUAAAAGAUUUAUUUUCUGUUCUAUAAAGCAAAAACUUCUGAAAACAGCAAAGGUUCCGUUUACGUUCUCACUUGCUGCGAUUCCAAUGGCCUUUCUUUACUCUUGCUGCAAAGUUGUACAGAAAAGAGAUUCCAAGCCAGUAAAUCCCAUACAGUGAGAAAGUAAUCAAAGGCUUGUGAUCAUGUCAGAACAAUGCAUGACAAAGGAAGAAAUGGUGAUCAAGAAGAACCAAGCUAUCACAUCAUUCUAUGCACCAAUGAAGCAGGCAGUCCUCC